UACGAAGGGUGCAAGCGUUACUCGGAAUUACUGGGCGUAAAGCGUGCGUAGGCGGUUUGUUAAGUCUGAUGUGAAAGCCCCGGGCUCAACCUGGGAAUGGCAUUGGAUACUGGCAACCUAGAAUGUGGGAGAGGGUGGCGGAAUUCCCGGUGUAGCAGUGAAAUGCGUAGAUAUCGGGAGGAACAUCCGUGGCGAAGGCGGCCACCUGGACCAACAUUGACGCUGAGGCACGAAAGCGUGGGGAGCAAACAGG
rnacentral:rRNA from 1 species